UGUGCUGGAAUUCAGCCCUUAGAGUUUGAUCCUGGCUCAGGAUGAACGCUAGCGGCAGGCUUAAUACAUGCAAGUCGAGGGGUAACACAGUGUAGCAAUACAUGGGUGACGACCGGCGCACGGGUGCGUAACGCGUAUGUAACCUACCUACUACAGUGGAAUAACCCGGAGAAAUUCGGACUAAUACCGCAUACCAUAUAUAGAUGGCCUCAUUUAGAUAUAAAAGAUUUAUCGGUAGUAGCUGGGCAUGCGUCCCAUUAGUUAGUUGGCGAGGUAACGGCUCCCCAAGACGACGAUGGGUAGGGGAUCUGAGAGGAUGACCCCCCACAUUGGUACUGAGACAGGGACCAAACUCCUACGGGAGGCAGCAGUAGGGAAUAUUGGGCAAUGGUCGAGAGACUGACCCAGCCAUGCCGCGUGCAGGAAGACGGCCUUAUGGGUUGUAAACUGCUUUUAUACGGGGCUAAAUCAUUUGUCGCGCACAAGUGUUGAAGGUACCGUAAGAAUAAGGAUCGGCUAACUCCGUGCCAGCAGCCGCGGUAAUACGGAGGAUCCAAGCGUUAUCCGGAUUUAUUGGGUUUAAAGGGUGCGCAGGCGGGACAUUAAGUCCGUGGUGAAAGGUUUAAGCUUAACUUAGACAUUGCCAUGGAUACUGAUGACCUGGAUGGUAGAUGGCGUAGGCGGAAUAUGUCAAGUAGCGGUGAAAUGCGUAGAUAUGACAUAGAACACCGAUCGGGAAGCCAGCUUACGAAACUACUCAUGACGCUCAAGCACGAAAGCGUGGGGAUCAAACAGGAUUAGAUACCCUGGUAGUCCACGCAGUAAACGAUGAACACUCGUUGCCGGCGAUAGAGAGUCGGUGGCUAAGCGAAAGUGAUAAGUGUUCCACCUGGGGAGUACGUUCGCAAGUAUGAAACUCAAAUGAAUUGACGGA
rnacentral:rRNA from 1 species